AGUGAACGCUGGCGGUAGGCCUAACACAUGCAAGUCGAACGGCAGCACAGUAAGAGCUUGCUCUUACGGGUGGCGAGUGGCGGACGGGUGAGGAAUACAUCGGAAUCUACUUUUUCGUGGGGGCUAACGUAGGGAAACUUACGCUAAUACCGCAUACGACCUACGGGUGAAAGCAGGGGAUCUUCUGACCUUGCGCGAUUGAAUGAGCCGAUGUCGGAUUCGCUAGUUGGCGGGGUAAAGGCCCACCAAGGCGACGAUCCGUAGCUGGUCUGAGAGGAUGAUCAGCCACACUGGAACUGAGACACGGUCCAGACUCCUACGGGAGGCAGCAGUGGGGAAUAUUGGACAAUGGGCGCAAGCCUGAUCCAGCCAUACCGCGUGGGGGAAGAAGGCCUUCGGGUUGUAAAGCCCUUUUGUUGGGAAAGAAAAGCAGCAGGUUAAUACCCCGCUGUUAUGACGGUACCCAAAGAAUAAGCACCGGCUAACUUCGUG
rnacentral:rRNA from 1 species